AUAUCGACGAGUUUGAUCCUGGCUCAGAACGAACGCUGGCGGCAUGCCUAACACAUGCAAGUCGAACGAAGCCUUCGGGCUUAGUGGCGCACGGGUGCGUAACACGUGGGAAUCUGCCCUUCGGUUCGGAAUAACAGUUAGAAAUGACUGCUAAUACCGGAUGAUGACGAAAGUCCAAAGAUUUAUCGCCGAAGGAUGAGCCCGCGUAGGAUUAGGUAGUUGGUAGGGUAAUGGCCUACCAAGCCGACGAUCCUUAGCUGGUCUGAGAGGAUGAUCAGCCACACUGGGACUGAGACACGGCCCAGACUCCUACGGGAGGCAGCAGUGGGGAAUAUUGGACAAUGGGCGAAAGCCUGAUCCAGCAAUGCCGCGUGAGUGAUGAAGGCCUUAGGGUUGUAAAGCUCUUUUACCCAGGGAUGAUAAUGACAGUACCUGGAGAAUAAGCUCCGGCUAACUCCGUG
rnacentral:rRNA from 1 species